CCUACGGGAGGCAGCAGUGGGGAAUAUUGCACAAUGGGCGAAAGCCUGAUGCAGCGACGCCACGUGAGGGAUGACGGCCUUCGGGUUGUAAACCUCUUUCAGCAGGGAAGAAGCGAGAGUGACGGUACCUGCAGAAGAAGGGCCGGCUAACUACGUGCCAGCAGCCGCGGUAAU
rnacentral:rRNA from 1 species